CUAGUAAUAUAAUAGAAGUGUAUGUAUAAGGCGGUGUGGGCAUAUUUCUCUACUUAGCAUAAGAGUAGUGAGGGACGGUUGGAAGGAUUAAAAAAAAAAAUAUAGUAAUAAUAAAAAGAUAAAAAGAGAAAGAAGUAGCCAAUUGUAUGGCCCUAAAGGAAACCAAAAAGAGAAAGAAGAAAGGAAAAGGAAAGGGUUGCCGGAAAACAAAACUCAGUAGGCAGGCAAGGAGAAGGAGCAGACAACUUCAAUAAUACCAAAGGAAAAGUGAAUAAAUUGGGAAGUAGCCAAGGUACAAGGUUGGGUCGCUACUGCCAGGUCUAGAAUCUUGAGUGUGAAUUGGGAAAAGAACAAUGGAAUGUCUUUUAUUUAAGAUGUAAAUAUUAUAGUAUAAUUUAAUAGUGUAACUUGUCACUAACGAUUUAGUUUGUCAGAAUUUGCAUAAUGGGCCUAUAAUUUGUUUUUAAAUUGUAAACUGUUAAACAGAUACUCUGAUGUAGGAUGACGUUAUGUUUGAAUGAGGUUAAUGCAGAUGGUUAGAUGCA